CCAAAGGCUCUUUUCAGAGCCACCCAUGGAUCUCCGGGAAAGAGCU
rfam:Oryctolagus cuniculus chromosome 12, whole genome shotgun sequence.